rnacentral:rRNA from 1 species
CAGGCCUAACACAUGCAAGUCGAACGAGAAAGCCCCUUCGGGGGUGAGUACAGUGGCGGACGGGUGAGUAACACGUGGGUUACCUGCCCUUGAGUGGGGAAUAACCCCGGGAAACUGGGGCUAAUACCGCAUACGACCCUUCGGGGUGAAAGCUUUAUGCGCUCGAGGAUGGGCCCGCGGUCGAUUAGCUUGUUGGUGGGGUAAUGGCCUACCAAGGCUGCGAUCGAUAGCCGGCCUGAGAGGGCACACGGCCACACUGGCACUGAGACACGGGCCAGACUCCUACGGGAGGCAGCAGUGGGGAAUCUUGGACAAUGGGGGAAACCCUGAUCCAGCGACGCCGCGUGAUCGAUGAAGGCCUUCGGGUCGUAAAGAUCUUUCAGCGGGGACUAUGAUGAAGGUACCCGCAGAAGCAGGAGCGGCUAACUACGUGCCAGCAGCCGCGGUAAUACGUAGGCUCCAAGCGUUGUUCGGAAUUACUGGGCGUAAAGCGAGUGUAGGCGGUUCGCCAAGUCGAUUGUGAAAUCUCCCGGCUCAACUGGGAGGGUGCGGUCGAUACUGGCGAGCUAGAGUGCGGAAGAGGAAGGUAGAAUUCCUGGUGUAGCGGUGGAAUGCGUAGAUAUCAGGAGGAAUACCGGUGGUGAAGACGGCCUUCUGGGCCGCAACUGACGCUGAGACUCGAAAGCGUGGGGAGCAAACAGGAUUAGAUACCCUGGUAGUCCACGCCCU